GAUUAGCGGCGGACGGGUGAGUAAUGCCUAGGAAUCUGCCUGGUAGUGGGGGACAACGUUUCGAAAGGAACGCUAAUACCGCAUACGUCCUACGGGAGAAAGCAGGGGACCUUCGGGCCUUGCGCUAUCAGAUGAGCCUAGGUCGGAUUAGCUAGUUGGUGAGGUAAUGGCUCACCAAGGCGACGAUCCGUAACUGGUCUGAGAGGAUGAUCAGUCACACUGGAACUGAGACACGGUCCAGACUCCUACGGGAGGCAGCAGUGGGGAAUAUUGGACAAUGGGCGAAAGCCUGAUCCAGCCAUGCCGCGUGUGUGAAGAAGGUCUUCGGAUUGUAAAGCACUUUAAGUUGGGAGGAAGGGUUGUAGAUUAAUACUCUGCAAUUUUGACGUUACCGACAGAAUAAGCACCGGCUAACUCUGUGCCAGCAGCCGCGGUAAUACAGAGGGUGCAAGCGUUAAUCGGAAUUACUGGGCGUAAAGCGCGCGUAGGUGGUUUG
rnacentral:rRNA from 1 species